CGGCGGCCAUAGCGUGAGGGAAACGCCCGGUCACAUUCCGAACCCGGAAGCUAAGCCUCACAGCGCCGAUGGUACUGCAGGGGGGACCCUGUGGGAGAGUAGGACACCGCCGGAC
rnacentral:rRNA from 1 species